UACGAAGGGGGCUAGCGUUGCUCGGAAUCACUGGGCGUAAAGGGUGCGUAGGCGGGUCUUUAAGUCAGGGGUGAAAUCCUGGAGCUCAACUCCAGAACUGCCUUUGAUACUGAGGAUCUUGAGUUCGGGAGAGGUGAGUGGAACUGCGAGUGUAGAGGUGAAAUUCGUAGAUAUUCGCAAGAACACCAGUGGCGAAGGCGGCUCACUGGGCCGACACUGACACUGAGAGACGAAAGCUAGGGGAGCAAAUGGG
rnacentral:rRNA from 1 species